rnacentral:rRNA from 1 species
ACUCCUACGGGAGGCAGCGGUGGGGAAUAUUGGACAAUGGGGGCAACCCUGAUCCAGCAAUGCCGCGUGUGUGAAGAAGGCCUGAGGGUUGUAAAGCACUUUCAGUGGGGAGGAGGUUGAUUUGGUUAAGAGCUGAGUUAAUGGACGUUACCCACAGAAGAAGCACCGGCUAACUCCGUGCCAGCAGCCGCGGUAAUAC